rnacentral:rRNA from 1 species
CUGCUGCCUUCCGUAGGAGUUUGAGCCGUGUCUCAGUCCCAAUGUGGCCGGCCAACCUCUCAGUCCGGCUACUGAUCGUCGCCUUGGUGGGCCGUUACCCCGCCAACCAGCUAAUCAGACGCGAGUCCAUCUCAGAGCGAUAAAUCUUUGAUAUCCAGUUCCAUGCGACACAGAUAUAUUAUGCGGUAUUAGCAGCUGUUUCCAGCUGUUAUUCCCCACUCCAAGGCAGGUUACU